UACAGAGGUCCCAAGUGUUGUUCGGAUUCACUGGGCGUAAAGGGUGCGUAGGCGGUUGGGUAAGUCUGAUGUGAAAUCUCACAGCUUAACUGUGAAACUGCAUUGGAUACUAUCCGGCUAGAGGAAUGGAGGGGAGACUGGAAUACUUGGUGUAGCAGUGAAAUGCGUAGAUAUCAAGUGGAACACCAGUGGCGAAGGCGAGUCUCCGGACAUUUCCUGACGCUGAGGCACGAAAGCCAGGGGAGCAAACGGG
rnacentral:rRNA from 1 species